CACUGCUGGUUGUGAGUUUGAGGCAGACUGCAGUCUCACAAUCUGACCAUGAAACACAGGAUACGUUUACAGUAGUUAUUCCCGGUUAUAAACUGAAGGUAAUCUGUCCCUUUAACCAGAACCAAAAGUUAAUUGGGUCUAUUUUGGGCUGAGACCCAUCCUCCAGCCGAGUUUCAUGGAAAUCCGUUCAGUAGUUUGUGUGUUACCCUGCUGACAAACCAACAAACAGAGGGUUCAGUGGGACGCUGUGGUGUGUCAGCCUGGUGACUGAUGUUCCUGCUGAGGCAAGGCACCAGCACAUUACAGCGCCCGUCCGCUUGCCAGGAACUCGGGAUGAUGGGAAAUGGUGCAGUGCCGUUGUGUGUCGUUCCCGUGACAUUGAGAGCUGUAAAGCAACAAAAGGAAUCCAGCCGACGGUUGAGGAAGUCACCGCAGUGAACCAGACGCCUCCCCCAUUGUGUUGAGUCCAGCAUCAGAACAUCUUGUUGAUCUCAGUCGCCACGCCCAUUAAAGACACACAACGGUUCAGUCCAGAAUUAAACGUUGACGUUACAUUCAGGGUGUUCGCGGGUAUCAGACCUUAAAUUAAACUCUAUUUAAGGUUAACCAAAUGUUGACCUUCAUGCUGAAAAGCUUGAAUUAAAAGAUGGAUAAAUGAGGUUCACUCCACGAUUACGGCAGCCGAACAAAUUCACAAUAACGGUGUUAUUCAGAUAUCUGUAGAAAUUGGGGAGAAAAUGCUGACAAUCAAAUCUGUCUGAAACAUCUUCGCUGGAUUGUUCACACUGCCUGAAAAAAAACCCUGCCUGCUUUAAAACCAGCACAGAUAAAAACAGUAAAAGACAGAUAUUUCUCUUGCGACAUAACCAAAACUGAUCCAGCUUUACCAGAAAAUUGUGUGAUAUGAAGGACAUCACUCACGGCGAGGCAAGACGAUUGAGGAAACACGUUUUCAGGGGCCUUUUAAACUUUUAAAGAUGUUCCUGCAAGAAUCCGUUGGAAACGAGGCACAAGAAAAUGAGGUGUGUUGCUCCAAAACACACACUCUGCUGUGUUUGAAGUGUCAUUCCUUUAAAAGAGGACAAGCAAACAGCAGCAGCCCUGCUGGGAAGGUUAUGAAGUUCACACAGAGGCCUGUAAGCUGAGCGGCUGCAGGGCUGCAGCGGAGCAUUUACUUUGGCUUCCUGAGAAACAAAUCAGACUGUUGAUUCAGAGCGUGAGUCAGCUACUCCCUCAUGUCACAUCAAUAGUUUAUUUAGCAGCGGAGGGAAACCACAGAAUUAGAAUAAAAAUUAGAUUAUGCGUCCCUGCGAUAGAAGCAACGCAUUCAAUUACGCCGACUCUAAACUUCUCUUGAGGGGGAGUGAGGAGGAUUUUUUGUGUGUGUGUGUGUGUGUGCUGCACAGCAAUACAUCAAGAAAGCAAAGAGUGGGAGAGCAGCAUGUCACGUCUGCUGCUUCAUUCUCUGUUUUCCCCUUUUGCCUCCUGUUGGGAGGGAGAGAAGGAGAGAAAUCUGCUAAAAGCUCUACAAACCAAGCGGCCUUUUAACAAGAUGCACUUAAUCUUCCCGCUGUUUGCUUUAGGUAAGUGAGGGAUUGGCUUCGUCCGGGCGCAGAGUGGCGGGAUGUUGACUCCAGCCGGCUUGUGAACCCUCACCUCUUAUCAGACUUUAUCUGCAUUUGCACAGGUUUAAAGCCAAGCAGCCCAAUGAGAUUAAAUAUAUAGACCCCUGCUUUGCUGAGCUGGUAAUGUAUGAACCGCGUGUCCCAGUGCUGCCUAUGAGUUCGCCCAGAGUUCAUAUUGUUAGUAUUACAGGCCUUUCAUGCUCUCGAAUCUCACACAGAUCAAAAGGGCUUUGUGAGGUAUGCCACCAUCAGCCAAUUAAUGUCCACGAGUACAGCUGCUCCGUCUGCGAGGUCAAGACUAAGCACUCUUCACAGCUAAACGCCUCGACUUUUUACUUCCUCCAACCUCAUUUUUAGGUAAUUAUUCAGCUCUUUGGGAGGGUUUGGUAAUUCACACCCCACACGUUGCGUAACGGGAGUCACAGCGAAGUGACCUUGGACUGCUCCGAAGUCAGAAAACGAAAAGAGAAACGGGCUGGGCUUCGGCGAAGAGGGAUCUUACACAAAUCCCACCCACAUUAACGGGCGAGGAGACACAGCCAGGAGGAUUGGAGCGAGGUAUUUCAGGAUUAGAAGAACCUCGCUUUAGAUAAAACCUCUGGGACAAUGGUUACUUUUCAGGUGGUUAACUGGCGGUCUGCUCUGACUCAGGCCGACUGCAGAGGGCUUCUCGCUCAAGGACACUGCAACAGGAUACGCAGCUGCUGCCGGGGUUAAUCUGCUGAUGGCGGGACGGCGACCGCACACUGAUCUCCCAAAUUACACUCAGUUACAUUCUCAGGAAUCUUUCUUCAGCCUGACGCAGUUUAUCAUGAGGCUGACUUUAUUAUUCUCUGUAUUGAUUCAUAUCUGUAUGUGCUGCUCCACCCACACCGAGGCUUUGGUCCUGUUCUGUAUGUAUAUAAAAAGGAACAGUUCACCCAAAAAUAGAAAUUCAGUCAUUAUCUUCUCACUCUCAGUCAGGUGACGUUUCAGUCUGCAAAGCAUUUCUGCAAGUAUUCCUUUCCUCAUUUUAUACGUACUGUUUAUGUCUCGCCUCUGGUUUUAAUGUUCUUAACAUCUGUCUUGUCUCGAUGUAUUUUAGGAUGCCUUUUUAACACCAAAGCCAGGGGAUUACAGAUCAAAAAUUGUAAUUAACUCAAGUAUUUCCUUGUUUUCUUCCUUUGCAAUAUCCCUUUGUAAACUUAAAGUAGAUGGGAACUGGUUUGAUAUGUAUGCAUGAAGCUCAUCCGGCGUAAUCCAAGUCUCCAGCAGCUCUGAGAUCCCAGAUUGAUUUGAGAAGAUGUUCUUUAUAUCCUUGAGCUUUUAGCUUUCAAGUCAGUGUCUCGGGGCAUCCAGAGACUUGGGCUGCACCCAAAUCUCCAGACCUCACUGCUUUUGCACACUUGCAAACUUUAAGGGCCUUCGAGCAGACUUUUGCUGCAUUCAUGUUCUCCUACCAUGUCACCACUUCCCAAUUUCGGAGGUCGUUCUUCCGACUUCUGUCAGUUUGUGUGUCAAGUCAAAAAGAGGGAGCAACACGGACGAUGAUUUGUAUUUUAAUCACUUCAGCUUCAGGCUAGGUUUUGGGUUACAAACCUUAAACACAAACACUGGUCAGCCUGUGAUUUAAACUGGUUGCUGUGAAUCUCCAGUAAUGUUUUGUUGGCUCCAAAAAUUCCCCCCAACUUAUAGUCACCAUUGCUUUGAGUAUAUAAUGACUGAACUUUCAUCUUUGGGUGAACUGGUCCUUUAAUGUUUAUGGCACAACAUUAACACUCUCCAAUUUGAGGAUUCAAUCCCUCUGGGCUGACCCAUGAUAAACUGCAGCCUACAGUGCUACUGAAAGGCACUUAAUGUGUGACAGUUUGUGUCCAAACAUCACUUUAACAGAUUCACCAUCAGACAUGCCAUUAAAAACAUAUACAUAAUGUACAUAAAUACUGAACUGAACCAUUAGUUAAGCAGCACAUUAACAAAACCCAGUGCCCCUGCACUCUAAUCACAGAGA